rnacentral:rRNA from 1 species
UUUAUGGAGAGUUUGAUCCUGGCUCAGGAUGAACGCUGGCGGCGUGCCUAAUACAUGCAAGUCGAGCGAACGGACGAGAAGCUUGCUUCUCUGAUGUUAGCGGCGGACGGGUGAGUAACACGUGGAUAACCUACCUAUAAGACUGGGAUAACUUCGGGAAACCGGAGCUAAUACCGGAUAAUAUUUUGAACCGCAUGGUUCAAAAGUGAAAGACGGUCUUGCUGUCACUUAUAGAUGGAUCCGCGCUGCAUUAGCUAGUUGGUAAGGUAACGGCUUACCAAGGCAACGAUGCAUAGCCGACCUGAGAGGGUG